AAAAUUUUUCUUAUUAGCAGGAGCAUUUGGUGCUGCCUCCUAACUCUGGACACACAUUCCUAGGAGAGUAAUACUACCAACCUCUACAUCAGCCUCAGCAUUACCGGAUAUCUACCCAGACUGGAAGGAGCUGCACUCAGUAUGAGAUGUUGAUUCUACUGCCUGAUGUGGAUUUUUGAAGAGCCUUAAACAACUUAUUCGCCUAAGAGCGUUCCCACAAUAUCCUUAAUUUUAGAAGUGUUGUCACUCAUCUUUACUUGCUACUGCUGUGCAGUUUUCACUGUAUGAAAAGCCCUCCCACUGUACUGCCCAGUCUCUCUACAGUGAUUAUGAUGAUCCUGUCCAUAACAAGGCUGAUAAUGGAGGAACAUGUGACAUACAUAUAACUCUUCAUACUCCGUAGGCAUAUACAGGUGCAGUGGAGUCACAUACUACUCCAUACUUGGCCAAAUUAUGGAUAUGAUUGCCAUAGUCACUAAAGAUAAGGACGAGGUAGAAUGGGGCAGGACUUGUUGAAUAGUAAAAACACAGCACAGCAGGAGCAAGUGACUGAGUGAUGAUACUUUACAAUUAUAGCACUUAUACAUACAUCCAAUCGGCAAAGAGACCUGCAUCUGGCCAUAAUCGCAUGAUUCUGACUGACUGGGGAGAGCUCUGCAUUUCUGAAGUUGCUGUUUUAUGUAGUCGAAAACCAUCAAGUAUGAAGAACUCUUGUAACCCGGAGCCCUGGCUGAGCUGGAUUAUGAUUUUACAAACAUACAAAAAGAAAACGGUCAAUUACAUUUUUUAAUGACAUUGAAUCUUUCUCCUGAUGAAAUGUUUUAGAAUCAGUUUGUCAAAUAUUUUUUUUACUUUGUCAAUA